rnacentral:rRNA from 1 species
GAUGAACGCUGGCGGCGUGCCUAAUACAUGCAAGUCGAGCGAACGGACGAGAAGCUUGCUUUUCUGAUGUUAGCGGCGGACGGGUGAGUAACACGUGGAUAACCUACCUAUAAGACUGGGAUAACUUCGGGAAACCGGAGCUAAUACCGGAUAAUAUUUUGAACCGCAUGGUUCAAAAGUGAAAGACGGUCUUGCUGUCACUUAUAGAUGGAUCCGCGCUGCAUUAGCUAGUUGGUAAGGUAACGGCUUACCAAGGCAACGAUGCAUAGCCGACCUGAGAGGGUGAUCGGCCACACUGGAACUGAGACACGGUCCAGACUCCUACGGGAGGCAGCAGUAGGGAAUCUUCCGCAAUGGGCGAAAGCCUGACGGAGCAACGCCGCGUGAGUGAUGAAGGUCUUCGGAUCGUAAAACUCUGUUAUUAGGGAAGAACAUAUGUGUAAGUAACUGUGCACAUCUUGACGGUACCUAAUCAGAAAGCCUCGGCUAACUACGUG